CGAGCGCAACCCCGCCGUUAGUUGCCAGCGGUUCGGCCGGGCACUCUAACGGGACUGCCCGCGAAAGCGGGAGGAAGGAGGGGACGACGUCUGGUCAGCAUGGCCCUUACGGCCUGGGCGACACACGUGCUACAAUGCCCACUACAAAGCGAUGCCACCCGGCAACGGGGAGCUAAUCGCAAAAAGGUGGGCCCAGUUCGGAUUGGGGUCUGCAACCCGACCCCAUGAAGCCGGAAUCGCUAGUAAUCGCGGAUCAGCCAUGCCGCGUCGAUACGUUCCGGCCUU
rnacentral:rRNA from 1 species